UUGAAAGGGAAACGAUUGAAGUCAGUCGUACCUGCGGGUAAUCAGCCUUUUGGGCAUGAUUCUGUGGAGCGUGAGGAGUUAAACGCCUUCAUGCCUGCAUAUUCGUGUACAUUGGGUGUACUUGCCUGUGUGGUUAGUUAACAUCAAUUUUGGUUAUCAUAAAAUGGUUGGAGGAAUGUAGCUUCGAUUUCGGUUGAAGUGUUAUAGCCUUCGGCAGAUGUGAUGAUCGGGAUUGAGGAUUGCAACGGAUACCCUUCGGGGCUACCUGUCUGGUCUCUGAUCGUUGCUCUGGUGCCGAAAGCGUGCUUACGGUUAUCAAAGUCGAUGGUCAAUAGGUUAGAACGGGUUAAAUUCGUUAAGGAUGUUGACGUA
rnacentral:rRNA from 1 species